ACGAACGCUGGCGGCAUGCCUAACACAUGCAAGUCGAACGCCCCGCAAGGGGAGUGGCGCACGGGUGAGUAACGCGUGGGGAUCUGCCCAUCGGUGGGGAAUAACCUCGGGAAACUGAGGCUAAUACCGCAUACGCCCUGUAAAGGGGAAAGAUUUAUCGCUGAAGGAUCGGCCCGCGUCUGAUUAGCUAGUUGGUGAGGUAACGGCUCACCAAGGCGACGAUCAGUAGCUGGUCUGAGAGGAUGAUCAGCCUCACUGGGACUGAGACACGGCCCAGACUCCUACGGGAGGCAGCAGUGGGGAAUAUUGGACAAUGGGCGCAAGCCUGAUCCAGCCAUGCCGCGUGGGUGAUGAAGGCCCUAGGGUUGUAAAGCCCUUUCGGCGGGGAAGAUAAUGACGGUACCCGCAGAAGAAGCCCCGGCUAACUUCGU
rnacentral:rRNA from 1 species